AGGUCCCCCUUGGGAAUUGAGCCCACAACCCUGGAAUUGCAAGUGCCAUGCUCUACCAACUGAGCUACAUGGGACGGAACCACAUUGAAAAAGAACUACACAUGCCUGCUGCAAGCGUCACGUAAUUCACCAGGGCCAUGAUGGUUGAACGAGACUGCUGAGUCGAGGCAAAGGUUUCAGCAUGAUGUUGCACGGCCCCAUGUCGCAAGGAUCUACACAAUUCCUGGAAGCUGAACAUUUCCCAGUUCUUCCAUGGCCUGCAUACUCACCUGGCAACAUUCCACAGGCCACAAUCACCAGCAUGAUCAACUCUAUGCGAAGGAGGCAAAUGGUGGUCACACCAAAUACUGACUGGUUUUCUGAUCCAAGCCCCUACUUUUUUUAAGCAUAAGAAGAACCUGCUCUCCUCCACCAGUACAAGGAGAUGAAUUCAGGUUCAAUUGUCUGGUGUCUGGUGUUGUAGUGGCUAAGGACCUUUCAGUCAGAUAUAAUCAGAUUUCAGCUGCUUUGCAAUGUUAACAUCACAGAAAUGUGCAAGCAUCAUCUGGACUGGACACCACCAAGCAAACAUAUUUUUGAUCAGGACUUUUACAAAGAAAAGGCCGUGAGGGCAGGACAGAAAUAGGCUAAACCUUUGUGUCCGUCUCAAACUUGGGCGUAGCUGGAACUACCGCCACUCUCGUUGUUGGAGAGUCAGAGUAAUUAAAUAUAAUUAACCAAGAUUACAAUAGACCCGUAUCCCUUCAGACAUUCAACCUCUAGUUGCGUACUCCCUCUAGCAUCAGGGUCAGCGUACUUUCAAAUGUUGUUUUUUGACAUCAUUGCAAGCCUGACAUACACAGAAAAUACGAUACAUUUAUUAAACAUAAGAAUGAGUGUGAGUUUUUGUCACAACCCGAAUCGUGGGAAGAGACAAAGAGCUCUUAUAGGACCAAGGCACAAAUAAUAAUAUAACAAUAAUCAAUCAUUUUGCUCUUUAUUUAACCAUCUUACAUAUAAAACCUUAUUUGUUAAUCGAAAAUUGUGAAUAACUCACCACAGGUUAAUGAGACGGGUGUGCUUGAAAGGAUGCACAUAACUCUGCAAUGUUGGGUUGUAUUGGAGAGAGUUUGUCUUAAACAAUUUUCCACACAGUCUGUGCCUAUAUUUAGUUUUCAUGCUAGCGAGGGCCGAGAAUACACUCUCACAUAGGUACGUGGUUGCAAAGGGCAUCAGUGUCUUAACAGCGUGAUUUUGCACACAACAAAUCAU
ensembl:lncRNA